rnacentral:tRNA from 1 species
GGAGCGUUGGCCGAACGGUAAGGCAGCGGUUUGCUAAACCGUACACUGGGAAACCGGUGAAGAGGUUCGACUCCUCUACGCUCCGCCA